AAAGGGAGACCUAAUUCCGGUAGGAGACGAAAAAAAAGUAGUCCCUACCAAGAAUCAAUCCCAAAAGGUCGGAACGAGGUAUGAGGCUUUCAAACUAGGUUCUGGGUUCAUAAAAGACCUGAAUCAGGAACAAGGGCUAUUAGCUCAGGUGGUUAGAGCGCACCCCUGAUAAGGGUGAGGUCCCUGGUUCGAGUCCAGGAUGGCCCACCUGCACAGGUGGCAAAAACAAAAGAAGCGAGGAAUCAGCACCUUAUCUUAUAUACAUAUAUAAGAGAGAAUGCUGGCUCUGAGUACAAAGUCCAGAGGAACCUUGAAAACUGCAUAGAGCUAGGUGGAAAAGCCAAAAAAGAAGACCGCAAG
rnacentral:tRNA from 1 species